GGGGAAGCAGAGGCCAUCUCUGAGUGGAAGAACCCAAGGAAGGAAAAUCAUUUUCAAUGUUCUUAACACCCAUUGAACCAAAGCAAAUGGAAAUUUCUCAGGACAUUCAAAUUGUAUCCAUUCAAAUUAUAGAAACAGGCUACUCCAUACCAAUCACAGGAUGAUUUAUCACACAUUCACUCAAUAUGGAACAUUUACUAGUGACCAGUUUCCUGUAACAACAGAUUCAUUUGGAAACUGCACACUGCAAAAGGCAAUCUUGUGACUUUCUUCUAGUUUAUCAAAAAUACAAAUCAGUCUGGGAGUCAGGCACAAACAGUGGUACAAAAGCAUGAAGAGAAAUACCUUAUCUAAGAAUGUGCUCGUUUCAUAUUGCAGAACCCCUAUCUAGAUUCUGGUUUUUGGAAGCCUGCUGCUGGUUCUUUUGCUCAGAAAGGUUCCUUCACUACACCUCUCUCCCACUCCCACCUCCCCUUACUAAAAUUCACUGAACGGGAAACACUCAGUAUGGACCUACGUGGAACUAAAAGCCCCAAUUUAAUUGAAUCUCAUGUGUCAGCACAGUGGCUGCUGGUUUAAUCUGCUCAGCCAGCCUCGUGUAUCUAGGGACUUUUUGGAUCAGAAUUUGAGCCGGAAGCGCCCAACACUUCAUCUUUGGGAAUCCAAUAAAAUCUCUGACGUACAACUAGAAGUCCCAUGAACAAGAAUCUCCAGUUCCAGUUAAUGAGAUUCAAGGGCGGGAGCAGCAGGAAGAGCUGGGGCGGGGGCAGGAGACGGGCCACGAACCAGAUGUGUGCUUCUCUUUCCUCACUUGUAAGUGAGGGGGCUGAACUCGCGGAGCUCCGGGGUCCUGCCCAGCAGCCGCUCUAGGACUCCCUCCUCAAGUCCAUCUCUACACAGGCUCGUCAAGCUGGGUCAGACAAAACUUCCUCACCACUUUGUCUCAACAGUUUAAAGUGGUUGUAAAAUACUUCUAUGCUGCAGUCUGAGGUCUCCCUCUCUCCCCUACCCCUCAAAGACCAGGUUUCAUUUCACUGGUGCAGACCACCUGGCCAAACUGGUGGCUGCUGAGGUUUAAAAGUGAAUCACUGGCCUGGUUAAGAUGAUGGCCUUUGAGUAACCUAGACCAGGGCACAUGUGUCUGUUUUUCAUGAACAGUGUUAACCAAAUAGCAAUAGAAUUCUGUUAGUUCUUCUAUAGAUCUACUUUGCAACAUGAGAUUGUUCAAAAAUUACAUGAGAAAAUCACCCAUCACCACUAAGUUAAAGACUUGAGUAUCUGAGACCUCCAGAGCCUCGAACUCCUGCUACAGUCACUGAUCCACAGCACGUCCCUCUCGGCAACGGGCUCCAUGCGAGCGCAGCCCGGUCCGGC
rnacentral:lncRNA from 1 species